rnacentral:rRNA from 1 species
AGCGAACGCUGGCGGCAGGCCUAAAACAUGCAAGUCGAACGCCGUAGCAAUACGGAGUGGCAGACGGGUGAGUAACACGUGGGAACGUGCCCUUUGGUUCGGAACAACACAGGGAAACUUGUGCUAAUACCGGAUAAGCCCUUACGGGGAAAGAUUUAUCGCCAAAGGAUCGGCCCGCGUCUGAUUAGCUAGUUGGUGAGGUAACGGCUCACCAAGGCUACGAUCAGUAGCUGGUCUGAGAGGAUGAUCAGCCACACUGGGACUGAGACACGGCCCAGACUCCUACGGGAGGCAGCAGUUAGGAAUCUUGGACAAUGGGCGCAAGCCUGAUCCAGCCAUGCCGCGUGAGUGAUGAAGGCCUUAGGGUUGUAAGCUCUUUCAGCGGGGAAGAUAAUGACGGUACCCGCAGAAGAACGCCCCGGCUAACUUCGUGCCAGCAGCCGCCGCGGUAAU